rnacentral:rRNA from 1 species
AACGAACGCUGGCGGCAUGCCCUAACACAUGCAAGUCGAACGUGAUCCAGGCUUCGGCCUGGUGAAAGUGGCAGACGGGUGAGUAACGCGUGGGAACCUGCCCUGUGGUAGGGAAUAACCGUGGGAAACUGCGGCUAAUACCCUAUGAGUCCUUCGGGAGAAAGAUUUAUCGCCAUAGGAGGGGCCCGCGUCGGAUUAGGUAGUUGGUGGGGUAACGGCCCACCAAGCCUUCGAUCCGUAGCUGGUCUGAGAGGAUGAUCAGCCACACUGGGACUGAGAUACGGCCCAGACUCCUACGGGAGGCAGCAGUGGGGAAUAUUGGACAAUGGGGGCAACCCUGAUCCAGCCAUGCCGCGUGAGUGAUGAAGGCCCUAGGGUUGUAAAGCUCUUUCGGUGGGGAAGAUAAUGACGGUACCUGAUGAAUAAGUCACGGCUAACUACGUG